GAUGAAGAACGUAGCGAAAUGCGAUAAGUAAUGUGAAUUGCAGAAUUCAGUGAAUCAUCGAAUCUUUGAACGCACAUUGCGCCCGCCAGUAUUCUGGCGGGCAUGCCUGUUCGAGCGUCAUUUCAACCAUCAAGCCCCAGGCUUGUGUUGGGGACCUGCGGCUGCCGCAGGCCCUGAAAACCAGUGGCGGGCUCGCUGUCACACCGGGCGUAGUAGAUUUUAUCUCGCUCUGGGCGUGCUGCGGGUUCCGGCCGUUAAAAAACCCUCUUAACCCAAGGUUGACCUCGGAUCAGGUAGGAAUACCCGCUGAACUCAAGCAUAUCAAUAAGCGGAGGA
rnacentral:misc_RNA from 1 species